rnacentral:rRNA from 1 species
CCUACGGGAGGCAGCAGUGAGGAAUAUUGGUCAAUGGGCGAGAGCCUGAACCAGCCAAGUCGCGUGAAGGAUGACGGCCCUACGGGUGGUAAACUUCUUUUGUCAGGGAGAAAUUGAGUCCACGUGUGGGCUUAGCGAGAGGACCGGAAGAAAAAGCAUCGGCUAACUCCGUGCCAGCAGCCGCGGUAAUACGGGGGAUGCGAGCGUUAUACGGAUUGAAUGGGGUGACAGGGUGGGUAGGCGGAAUAUAAAGUUAGCGGUAAAAAUUCGGGGCUCAACCCCGUCGUGCCGUUGAAACUGAUGUUCUUGAGUGGGCGAGAAGUAUGCGGAAUGCGUGGUGUAGCGGUGAAAUGCAUAGAUAUCACGCAGAACUCCGAUUGCGAAGGCAGCAUACCGGCGCCCAACUGACGCUGAAGCACGAAAGCGUGGGUAUCGAACAGGAUUAGAUACCCCUGUAGUC